UGGGGAAUAUUGCACAAUGGGCGCAAGCCUGAUGCAGCAACGCCGCGUGAGGGACGACGGCCUUCGGGUUGUAAACCUCUUUUAGUAGGGAAGAAGCGAAAGUGACGGUACCUGCAGAAAAAGCACCGGCUAACUACGUGCCAGCAGCCGCGGUAAUACGUAGGGUGCGAGCGUUGUCCGGAAUUAUUGGGCGUAAAGAGCUCGUAGGCGGUCUGUCGCGUCUGCUGUGAAAAACCCGAGGCUCAACCUCGGGCCUGCAGUGGGUACGGGCAGACUAGAGUGCGGUAGGGGAGAAUGGAAUUCCUGGUGUAGCGGUGGAAUGCGCAGAUAUCAGGAGGAACACCGAUGGCGAAGGCAGUUCUCUGGGCCGUAACUGACGCUGAGGAGCGAAAAGCGUGGGGAGCGAACAGGAUUAGAUACCCUGGUAGUCCACGCCGUAAAACGUUGGGCGCUAGAUGUGGGGACCAUUCCACGGUUUCCGUGUCGCAGCUAACGCAUUAAGCGCCCCGCCUGGGGAGUACGGCCGCAAGGCU
rnacentral:rRNA from 1 species